UACGUAGGGUCCGAGCGUUGUCCGGAAUUACUGGGCGUAAAGAGCUCGUAGGUGGUUUGUCGCGUUGUUCGUGAAAACUCACAGCUCAACUGUGGGCGUGCGGGCGAUACGGGCAGACUAGAGUACUGCAGGGGAGACUGGAAUUCCUGAUGUAGCGGUGGAAUGCGCAGAUAUCAGGAGGAACACCGGUGGCGAAGGCGGGUCUCUGGGCAGUAACUGACGCUGAGGAGCGAAAGCGUGGGGAGCGAACAGG
rnacentral:rRNA from 1 species